rnacentral:piRNA from 1 species
UGGAAAGUGAAGGAAAAUUGACUGC